UCUCAGUUCGGAUUGCAGGCUGCAACUCGCCUGUAUGAAGUCGGAAUUGCUAGUAAUCGUGGAUCAGCAUGCCACGGUGAAUACGUUCCCGGGCCUUGUACACACCGCCCGUCACACCAUGAGAGCCGGGAACACCCGAAGUCCGUAGUCUAACCUAUAUGGAGGACGCGGCCGAAGGUGGGUUUGGUAAUUGGGGUGAAGUCGUAACAAGGUACC
rnacentral:rRNA from 1 species